rnacentral:rRNA from 1 species
AUACGUAGGGAGCGAGCGUUGUCCGGAAUUACUGGGUGUAAAGGGUGCGUAGGCGGGACUGCAAGUCAGAUGUGAAAUGCCGGGGCUCAACCCCGGAGCUGCAUUUGAAACUGUGGUUCUUGAGUGAGGUAGAGGUAAGCGGAAUUCCUAGUGUAGCGGUGAAAUGCGUAGAUAUUAGGAGGAACACCAGUGGCGAAGGCGGCCUGCUGGACGACAACUGACGCUGAGGCGCGAAAGCGUGGGGAGCAAACAGGAUUAGAUACCCUGGUAGUCCACGCUGUAAACGAUGAAUACUAGGUGUGGGGGGACUGACCCCCUCCGUGCCGCAGUUAACACAAUAAGUAUUCCACCUGGGGAGUACGAUCGCAAGAUUGAAACUCAAAGGAAUUGACGGGG